GAACGCUAGCGGCAGGCUUAAUACAUGCAAGUCGUGGGGCAGCAUGAGUAGCAAUACUUGAUGGCGAACCGGCAAACGGGUGAGGAACACGUACACAACCUUCCUUCAAGCGGGGAAUAGCCCAGAGAAAUUUGGAUUAAUACCCCAUAAUAUAUUUGAUAAGGCAUCUUAUUAAUAUUUAAAGCUUCGGCACUUGAUGAUGGGUGUGCGGCUGAUUAGAUAGUUGGCGGGGUAACGGCCCACCAAGUCUACGAUCAGUAGCUGAUGUGAGAGCAUGAUCAGCCACACGGGCACUGAGACACGGGCCCGACUCCUACGGGAGGCAGCAGUAAGGAAUAUUGGACAAUGGACGAAAGUCUGAUCCAGCCAUGCCGCGUGAAGGAUUAAGGUCCUCUGGAUUGUAAACUUCUUUUAUAUGGGACGAUAAAAGGGCAUUCUUGUUCACUUGACGGUACCAUAUGAAUAAGCACCGGCUAACUCCGUG
rnacentral:rRNA from 1 species